GGCAGCUUGAAGGGGGUUAUAAAAGGUCCCUGGGCUGCCCCAGUGUGAUCCUGACCGCCCCAGCGUGGAGUCUGUCAGAGCUGAGCACCCACACCCAGCAUCAGGGUCCUCCAGCAGGGCUCCAGCUGCAGGUGGCCGGCAGUCCAAGUUCACCGGCAUGGCUUCUUACAGGCCGUCAGGGCUGCUGUCCUGGGAACAAGGGCCUCACCGGAGGGGCAGGCGCUACUCUCGCUCUCCGGGGCUGCUGUGCCUGGUGGAGUGCUCACACACACGCAUCACAGGAGCAAGGGCAAAUCCACCAAGGACUGCAGGGUCACACAGCGAGGGCAGUGCUACUGCCAAAGACAGGAGGGGACAGGAAACCACAUGGGGUCCACAAGUCCCUCCGGUUAAAAAAAUAAUAAUCAUGAGUUAGAAGCAAAAGUGAGUCAUUGGGAUUGGGGACACAUGUCUACGGUGGGCAGCGAGGGUGUCUGCGGAAAAAGAUGAAAUUGUGGGGAGGUGCUCAGGGGGUGGUCCUGGAAGGUCUCAAGACGGAAGUGCUCCAGCAGGAGGGUCUGUCUCUCUGCGUCCUCCUGCAGCCUCCAGACACUGAGGUCUCCAUCAAUACCAUAAGGCCAGGUGAAGAGCACCCCCAAGAGUCCUUCUCCCCAGAUCCCAGUGGGCCUGCCUCCAGGCCCUGGGGGCUUCUCUGCCCAGCGUCAGAUCACCCAGCCAUGCUGAAUGGUGAAGAUUUAGUCCAGAGAGGCAGCAUCAGUGGGCAACUUCAAUAAGCCUGGCCCCUUCCUCCCGCUCAGGCCUGGAACUGAGGGAACAGGCGAAGGUGGCAAUUAACAGUGCCGAUGAUAAAACAGAAGGAUGGUCGCUAAGUUUCCCAAAACACGUCUUUCAUCAACAGGAAUGCUCCUCUUUGCCCCUGGAAAAAGUCGAUGAUGAAAAGGGUGGAAAAGUGAGUGAGCCAAGCACAGGUGGACCUUUCUCCCCACUAAUCGAAUCAAUGAGGUCGAUCAGGCAAGCUCCGGGAGCGGAUUGUUGAUGCCUGAGGAAGUCUGAUCGUCAACAAGACGGGCUUCUUCUGGGCUAUCGGAGUGUGGGCUGUGCCAGUGUGCGGGAGCAACAAGCCAAAAUGAGAGAGACAUGUCGUCCCGCCCAAACACACACUUGCACAUGGACUGUUCCUGAGUCUACAGAACAAUCCCCAAAUACUCCAGCUUUCCCAGGGUGGGAAAGAAGCCGGAGGAGACAGCAGCCGCCCUACCUCUGCAGCCAUCUGCUCCGAGCCCUGCCUGUUCACUGACCACACAUGGAGGCUGAUAAUGGAGAAGCCAACCACCCAGGAGAUGAACAUCUUGACUUCCAGUUCCAACCCGACUCUGCCUGCCCCUCCCUGCCCUCAGCAAGGCUGUAUGGGCCAAUGGGCUCUCACGUCCUCAUUGCCGCCACUGCAAGAGUCCCAUCCUCCUCCUGGCCAGGGUGGAGAGGUAGGAUGACAUACUAACCAGGGCAGGAGCGACUUGAGCCAUGGGGAGAUGCAAGCAAAGAACCAGAGACAAAUGGGUCCAUGCACACAGGCAGACACACUGAUAAAUCUACAUGGAGGCGCAUCCUAAAGCAUGUGAUUGUUUUAUUGUUGGAGCUGGACAGAACUUAGGAACUCAUCUCUGGUACGAUGCCUAUGAAAUAAACGAGGCACAGAAAGAGAGAAACUUGCCCAAGAUCACUCAGCUGGGAGGUCACAAACAAAGAUGGGGACCCAGAUCCAUUGACCCUGGGUGCAAUGCAACUCUCAGCCUCCUUCCUGAUAUCACCAAUCUACGGAUCAGCAAGACGGAAACCUCUACAUCAUGAGAUAAGCGAG
rnacentral:lncRNA from 1 species